GAUGAACGCUGGCGGCGUGCCUAAUACAUGCAAGUCGAGCGAACAGAGGAGGAUUUUUCCCGUCUUACGUUACCGGCGGACGGGUGAGGAACACGUAGAUAACUGACCGAUAAGGCUGACAUAACGUCGGGAAACCUGAUCCCACAUCGGACAAGAUGUUGAACGUCAUGGUUCAUCAGUGAAAGAGGUUUUUGCUGUGACUUAUACAUAGAACCUCGCCGGAUUAGCUAGUUGGUAAGGUAACGGCUUACCAAGGCUACGAUGCGUAGCUGACCUGAGAGGGUGAUCAGCCACACUGGAACUGAGACACGGUCCAGACUCCUACGGGAGGCAGCAGUAGGGAAUCUUCGGCAAUGGGCGAAAGCCUGACGGAGCAACGCCGCGUGAGUGAAGAAGGUCUUCGGAUCGUAAAACUCUGUUAGUUGGGAAGAACAAAAGUGAAAGUAACUCUGCCCGUCUUGACGUUACCUAAACAGAAAGCCACGGCUAACUACGUG
rnacentral:rRNA from 1 species